rnacentral:rRNA from 1 species
GAUUAUGGCUCAGGAUGAACGCUAGAGACAGGCUAACACAUGCAAGUCGAGGGCAGCAUAAAAGUAGCAAUACUUGGUGGCGACCGGCGCACGGGUGAGUAACGCGUAUGCAACCUACCUAUCAGAGGGGAAUAACCCGGCGAAAGUCGGACUAAUACCGCAUAAAACAGGGGCACCGCAUGGUGAUAUUUGUUAAAGAGAUUCGCUGAUAGAUGGGCAUGCGUUCCAUUAGGUAGUUGGUGAGGUAACGGCUCACCAAGCCGACGAUGGAUAGGGGAACUGAGAGGUUGGUCCCCCACACUGGUACUGAGACACGGACCAGACUCCUACGGGAGGCAGCAGUGAGGAAUAUUGGUCAAUGGGCGGGAGCCUGAACCAGCCAAGUCGCGUGAAGGAAGAAGGAUCUAUGGUUCGUAAACUUCUUUUGCAGGGGAAUAAAGUGCAGGACGUGUCCUGUUUUGUAUGUACCCUGAGAAUAAGGAUCGGCUAACUCUGUGCCAGCCGCAGC